UCGCCAACUUCCCAUUUGUAUACAAGCUUAGAGGUCUUGAGGAAUUAAUCAAUUUUCAAGGAAAUAAAACUCCUAGCAGCUCUCACAGGUAAAAUUGAGGAGGUCAUAAAAAUUGGUUCAAACUAUAUAACAUCCUAACACAAGCAUCUCAACUGAAUCAAUCAAUGUAAAUACUUAAUACAAGAUUAUAUACAUCUAAACAACCUAGAGGAAUAGAAAUUUCAUCAAGGAUCAAACCCCAAUAAACCAAAAUUUAUAUUUAUACCCUGUGAAAAAUCUGGAACAGAGGUGGAGGUUGCAACCAAUGCAAAUCUUAGGUGAGGAGCAACUGUGAUUUUGUGUCUUCGGAUCAAGAAUGGGCGCCUUGGCCAUGAAUUCCUCGCUUGUCGAAUCGAUUGGCUUCAUAGCAGCUCUAAAAUGUUCGACGGUGUCACUGAGGUUCCCCUCGUGGUCCGACGCGUUGCAAGAGGCGGAGAGGAGGUUCUGCGGCGUACUUCGGGUGAGCCAGGUUCGGUUGGGAAAGAUAUGG
rnacentral:lncRNA from 1 species